rnacentral:tRNA from 1 species
GGGGAUGUGGUUCAGUGGUAGAGCACUUGCCUGGUAUGCAUGAGACCCUGGGUUUGAUGCCAGUGCUGCCA